rnacentral:tRNA from 4 species
ACUUUCAAAGGAUAAUAGUAAUCCAAUGGUCUUAGGAGCCACUUAUCUUGGUGCAAAUCCAAGUGAAAGUA